rnacentral:rRNA from 1 species
ACACUGGCACUGAAACACGGGCCAGACUCCUACGGGAGGCAGCAGUGGGGAAUCUUGCACAAUGGGGGAAACCCUGAUGCAGCGACGCCGCGUGAGCGAUGAAGCCCUUCGGGGUGUAAAGCUCUUUCGGCAGGGACGAUUAUGACGGUACCUGCAGAAGCAGCUGCGGCUAACUACGUGCCAGCAGCCGCGGUAAUACGUAGGCAGCAAGCGUUGUUCGGAGUUACUGGGCGUAAAGGGUGUGUAGGCGGCUCUCUAAGUUUGGUGUGAAAUCUCCCGGCUCAACCGGGAGGGUGCGCCGAAAACUGGGGGGCUAGAGUGCGGGAUGGGAGAGUAGAAUUCCUGGUGUAGCGGUGAAAUGCGUAGAUAUCAGGUCGAAUACCGGUGGUGUAGACGGCUCUCUGGACCGCAACUGACGCUGAGACACGAAAGCGUGGGUAGCAAACAGGAUUAGAUACCCUGGUAGUCCACGCCCUAAACGAUGCAUAUUUGGUGUAGGUCAUUCAGUUGAUCUGUGCCGGAGCUAACGCGUUAAAUAUGCCGCCUGGGGAGUACAGUCGCAAGGCUGAAACUCAAAGGAAUUGACGGGGGCCCGCACAAGCGGUGGAGCAUGUGGUUCAAUUCGACGCAACGCGAAGAACCUUACCUGGGCUCGAACGGCUAGUCAACGAUCGUGGAAACACGGUUACUCCGCAAGGGGGUCUAGUCGAGGUGCUGCAUGGCUGUCGUCAGCUCGUGUCGUGAGAUGUUGGGUUAAGUCCCGCAACGAGCGCAACCCUUGUCCUGUGUUGCCAUGCCGAAAGGCGGAACUCGCAGGAGACCGCCAGCGAUAAGCUGGAGGAAGGUGGGGAUGACGUCAAGUCCUCAUGGCCUUUAUGUCCAGGGCUACACACGUGCUACAAUGGCCGGUACAAUGCGCUGCUAAGUCGCAAGACGGAGCCAAUCGCAAAAAACCGGUCUCAGUUCGGAUUGCAGGCUGCAACUCGCCUGCAUGAAGCUGGAAUCGCUAGUAAUGGCAGAUCAGCACGCUGCCGUGAAUACGUUCCCGGGCCUUGUACACACCGCCCGUCACAUCACGAAAGUGGAUUGUACUAGAAGUCCGCAGGCUGACCCGCAAGGGGAGCAGCGGCCCAAGGUAUGAUUCAUGAUUGGGGUGAAGUCGGAACAAGGUAGCCGUAGGAGAACCUGCGGCUG